UGUUUCUGCCUCCCUCGUCUUCUUAUUUAGAAAUGAUUAUUACCUUUAUGUCUUGUAGAUUAAAUAUUGAGCUGUUCACAGGGACAAAAACUGCGACUCAAGACUGAUUGGACCGAGUGAGCUGGCCCAAAUCUCUGGAGUAAAGACUGGGCGAGUGGAAGCCAGGUUCAUGACUUCACAGUGUGGGUUGUUUGCCUAGGGACCCUGGAGCAGUCCAGGAAGGACCCUCCACCAGAACCAGGCUCAAGGAAGGGCAGCCAUCUGCCACAACUGACAAAAGAAACACUGUGGAGGGUGCCAGAGAUUACUGACAACUAAUGAUCAAAUGCAGAGCAGCGUAUAAACAGAGUGUGAAAAGAGACAAAAAUCCAAGUGAAACACAAGUUACUUUUUCACAUAGGCCCAGGUAGGUUUGGACAACCUUUUCAUUAAUAAAUGAAAUCAUCAUUUAAAAAGUAGAA